rnacentral:rRNA from 1 species
AUUAGAUACCCUGGUAGUCCGCACGGUAAACGAUGGAUGCCCGCCGUUGGGUAUUUUUAUUCAGUGGCCAAGCGAAAGCGUUAAGCAUCCCACCUGGGGAGUACGCCGGCAACGGUGAAACUCAAAGGAAUUGACGGGGGUCCGCACAAGCGGAGGAACAUGUGGUUUAAUUCGAUGAUACGCGAGGAACCUUACCCGGGCUUGAAUUGCAGAUGACGGAUCCAGAGAUGGUGACUUCCUUCGGGACAUCUGUGAAGGUGCUGCAUGGUUGUCGUCAGCUCGUGCCGUGAGGUGUCGGCUUAAGUGCCAUAACGAGCGCAACCCCUGUCGACAGUUGCUAACAGGUUAAGCUGAGGACUCUGUCGAGACUGCCGGCGCAAGCUGUGAGGAAGGCGGGGAUGACGUCAAAUCAGCACGGCCCUUACGUCCGGGGCGACACACGUGUUACAAUGGCAGGUACAGCGGGAAGCCACCCGGCGACGGGGCGCGGAACCCGAAAACCUGUCUCAGUUCGGAUUGGAGUCUGCAACCCGACUCCAUGAAGCUGGAUUCGCUAGUAAUCGCGCAUCAGCCACGGCGCGGUGAAUACGUUCCCGGGCCUUGUACACACCGCCCGUCAAGCCAUGGAAGCCGGGGGUACCUGAAGUACGUGACCGCAAGGAGCGUCCUAAGGUAAAACCGGUGACUGGGGCUAAGUCGUAACAAGGUACC